rnacentral:rRNA from 1 species
GACGAACGCUGGCGGCGUGCUUAACACAUGCAAGUCGAACGAUGAUCUCCCGCUUGCGGGGGUGAUUAGUGGCGAACGGGUGAGUAAUACGUGAGUAACCUGCCCUUGACUCUGGGAUAAGCCUUGGAAACCGGGUCUAAUACUGGAUACUACUUCCUGCCGCAUGGUGGGGAGUGGAAAGGGUUUUACUGGUUUUGGAUGGGCUCACGGCCUAUCAGCUUGUUGGUGGAGUAAUGGCUCACCAAGGCGACGACGGGUAGCCGGCCUGAGAGGGUGACCGGGCACACUGGGACUGAGACAAGGCCCAGACUCCUACGGGAGGCAGCAGUGGGGAAUAUUGCACAAUGGGCGGGAGCCUGAUGCAGCGACGCCGCGUGAGGGAUGACGGCCUUCGGGUUGGAAACCUCUUUCAGCAGGGAAGAAGCCACAAGUGACGGUACCUGCAGAAGAAGCGCCGGCUAACUACGUG